AUGAACGAUGUGAGGAGGCAAGAGAAGCAAAAUGGAAGGGGAGGUGGAGGAGGAGGGCGGCUAGCGAGGAUGCUGCGGGAGCACAAGGCCAGGCUCUACAUCAUCCGGCGCUGCAUCGUCAUGCUGCUCUGCCACCAUGACUGA
rnacentral:rRNA from 1 species